CGCCCCUCCCGGCCCCCUCCCCUCCCCCAGCCCGGAGCCUUAACCCCGUCGUGGCUGCGCCAGCGGCUGCGGGGGUCACCGCCUCCGGGCGAGCGAGCCACUCCGUGGCCGGGUCACUGUCCUGGGCGACUGACAGCCGGGGCGGAUACCCAGGUGAACUCUGGGAGCCAGGGGGUCUCAGCAGCAAUCCCAAGGUGCCCACAGGGAGAUUCCUCAAUCCUCUCUCUCCUGAACUUCUGUUAGCACUCAGACUCCAGAACAUUCUGCUGCCUACCCCAGGUGACACAAUCACGGCUCUGGGGGUCGCCUCUGCCAGUGUCCCCACUAAGGCUGCUGUCAGGGUGGGUCAUGAGGAGAUGGGAGGGAGGAGAUGGGGAUGACGGCACCAUUUUUUCCCUCACAAAAUCCCUCCUCCCUGCUUCCCCUUCAUACCAUAAUUCCUUUUUCUGUCUUUAAUCUGGCUGAAGGGGUUAGAAACUGGUUCUUAAAAAUUUCCUUUGAAAUUCUUUGUAUGAGAUAUCUCACUUUGAAGUUUCACCUAUUGUAUUUUGGUGUCUAGUUGAAAUUAUAAUUUUAAUUUCUUUUUACAAAAAUUACGGGGGGUAGUUACCAUUGUGCCCAGGGAGAAGGAGGUCAGCCUCCAAGUCUGCACCAGCAACUUCUCUUUGACCAGAGGAGCUAAGCUCUUCAACAAACCGCGAUGAGGUGAAAUGGCCACCAGAGGGCAGAAGAUCCUACUUCAAAUCCUGUUUCCCAGGACUCCUUGGAAAGAGAUGGCUUUAUUCAAUAAUCUCUUAAGGUUAGGUCCCCGCAGGUGCUGAGGUCUCAGCUCUCUUGGUAUUGUUACCCCGGUUACCAGUGAUGAGUUCUGCUUCCUCACAUGUUGAAGUUUGAAGAUUAGAGAAGCAUGACGAUGCAAGCAUAUAAAGCAGGAUUUAUUUAAAAAGAGGUAACAGACAUCACCCGGGAGGGAGAAGGGGACCAUAGCUGGUAUCCUUCUAUUCCAAGAAGAAAGAUUUUCAUGUGUCCUAGGCUUCCUUUGUUCUAUUGCCCUCUUCUCCUUAUCUUUCUCCCUCCUGCAUACUUGACUAGGCCCAGGAAUGCUCCUGGAAUGGCCCUCAGGUAGGAAACAGGUGGGCUGAAGGGGGAAAAGCAGGAUGGAGCAGCCAAGGACACAUUAACCAUCUCAUAGCUCCUUGUAGGGAGGGCAAUUCCUGGGUUACCUUGGCAACAGGUUGGAGCGGGGGCAGGUUCUUGAUAAGGGUGGAGGAAGGGCUCUGAAGGAAUUAACAUUUCAAUCCCUCUGGGGACAGUCUCCAACUUCCCGGACUCACUCAGAAUUGGCCUCCUUGAGAUGAUCUGACUCAAUUUACCUAUCUAGACUGACUGCCUGUCUCAUUUUGGCUUCAGUAUCACAUCUGGAUUCCUGACAUUGGCCUGCUUCUUGGAUUUCUGCAGUCUAACCAUUGUUCUUCCAGAUAUUUUUAAAGUUGUCACAUGGACGGCACUUAACUGUGCCACUCACCAGGCUGAACUAUGGAUACCUGAUGGAGAGAGACUGGGGUUGGCUGGGAGGGAGAGUGCUCCAUCCGAGGCCCAGAACCUGGAGGAGAUCUCUGUUCCCGGAUCUCUGUUCCCAAGUGGAGUCUGUCCAGGGGCUUUUCCCAACAAAAUGCUUUGGAAUC